rnacentral:rRNA from 1 species
UACGGAGGGUGCAAGCGUUAUCCGGAUUUAUUGGGUUUAAAGGGAGCGUAGGCGGGAUUGUAAGUCAGUGGUGAAAGCCCGUAGCUCAACUACGGAACUGCCAUUGAUACUGCAAACCUAGAGUACACUUGAAGUGGGCGGAAUGUGUCAUGUAGCGGUGAAAUGCUUAGAUAUGACACAGAACACCGAUUGCGAAGGCAGCUCACUAAAUUGUAACUGACGCUGAGGCUCGAAAGCGUGGGGAUCAAACAGGAUUAGAUACCCUGGUAGUCCACGCUGUAAACGAUGAUCACUCGAUGUUGGCGAUACACUGUCAGCGUCUGAGCGAAAGCAUUAAGUGAUCCACCUGGGGAGUACGGUCGCAAGACUGAA